GGGGGCGUAAAGGUUUCGACGGGGAUUCUGAAUUUUGGUAAGCGGGUAGAGUGGGCGAAAACUCUUUAAAAGUCGCACCUAAAUAUAAACGCUAAAUCUAACACUAGAACUUUAGCUUACGCUGCAUAAUUAACUUGCGGCUCGUCCAUGUCUGAGGACCACGGCGGAUUUGGGCGUCUAACAGUGGUGAACGUUCCGCAGGCGAGCCUGUAACCUGCGGAAUGUACAGAAGGCUACCGCUUUGCCGGCCUGUUUGUCGGCUUGGAAGAGCGGGAAUCUUUCGUAGAUAAACUACACCCGUAGAAAGCCUUAAGGACGGAUUUUCGGACGGGGGUUCGACUCCCCCCGCCUCCACCA
rnacentral:tmRNA from 1 species